rnacentral:rRNA from 1 species
AAUAGAUACCCAGGUAGUCCACGCCGUAAACGAUGAGUGCUAAGUGUUAGAGGGUUUCCGCCCUUUAGUGCUGCAGCAAACGCAUUAAGCACUCCGCCUGGGGAGUACGGUCGCAAGACUGAAACUCAAAGGAAUUGACGGGGGCCCGCACAAGCGGUGGAGCAUGUGGUUUAAUUCGAAGCAACGCGAAGAACCUUACCAGGUCUUGACAUCCUCUGACAACCCUAGAGAUAGGGCUUCCCCCUUCGGGGGCAGAGUGACAGGUGGUGCAUGGUUGUCGUCAGCUCGUGUCGUGAGAUGUUGGGUUAAGUCCCGCAACGAGCGCAACCCUUGAUCUUAGUUGCCAGCAUUCAGUUGGGCACUCUAAGGUGACUGCCGGUGACAAACCGGAGGAAGGUGGGGAUGACGUCAAAUCAUCAUGCCCCUUAUGACCUGGGCUACACACGUGCUACAAUGGGCAGAACAAAGGGCAGCGAAGCCGCGAGGCUAAGCCAAUCCCACAAAUCUGUUCUCAGUUCGGAUCGCGU